rnacentral:rRNA from 1 species
AUUGAACGCUGGCGGCAGGCCUAACACAUGCAAGUCGAACGAGUGGCGGACGGGAGAGUAAUGUCUGGGAAAGUGCCUGAUGGAGGGGGAUAACUACUGGAAAAGGUAGCUAAACCCGCAUACCAUCGGAUGUGCCCCGAUGGGAUUAGCUAGUAGGUGGGGUAAAGGCUCACCUAGGCGACGAUCCCUAGCUGGUCUGAGAGGAUGACGCGCCAAACUGGAACUGAGACACGGUCCAGACUCCUACGGGAGGCAGCAGUGGGGAAUAUUGCACAAUGGGCGCAAGCCUGAUGCAGCCAUGCCGCGUGUAUGAAGAAGGCCUUAGGGUUGUAAAGUACUUUCAGCGGGGAGGCGUUACCCGCAGAAGAAGCACCGGCUAACUCCGUGCCAGCAGCCGCGGUAAUUC